rnacentral:sRNA from 1 species
ACCCGCCAAUGAAAAUAGCAUAAGGCAAUAAAAGCAUUUUUUUGUUGUUAAAAAAAUGCAUAGUACACCAAAUAAUGCUAAUAGUUUAAAUAAAAAGGUCAACUUGAAUUGCAUGGCACCACUGCUUGCCUUGACGUUAGGAAGUGGUUUCCAAGUGCGAAGUGCAUAUACAAAAAAACUCGUGUCUCAUUGUGCAGGAGUCUUGUAUGCAUUUAAAAAUAUUUCUGGUCUUUCCCGUGUGCUCAUGAUGGCUGAACGCCAGAGCCGAAGACCCUGAAAACCCAGUUGAAAGUUAAUUGAUUAGCGAUGGGUCCAGCUCCCAAUAUAAAUCGUAAUUGUUUAUUCCUUCUGAGAGCAUAUUGGAUUAUAUAUUUUCCUGGAUAAGCGGCGCGAGAAUUUAACCUUCACUGCUGUGGCGAUUUUCUCUCUUUAAACCGACCUCGUAUUGCCUCCUGCAUCGGCUUUACCUCAUCGGCUUUGACCGGCUCUAUUGGCCGAGUCCCUCUCUGUCCACAAACUGCUAUGUCGCGAUCCCCUCAUCUUGCCAUCUUUGCAGGCCGCUCGCCGUCGGUACCUCCUCCGCGGGUGAUUCCGCCAUAGCUCCUCGUCCUCUCGAGAGCUCCGAGUCGACAAUCUGAUAAUCGACGGCGCAAUCAGCAACCCCCCAUUGAUACGUCGCCCAAUGAAACGCUGAGCUUCGGCAUCGAGACGCAGGACUUAUGUGCCCUACGCUUUGCCACAAGGCGUGUCGUAUUCGAUUUCCUCCUCGCCAGACGGAGUUCUAUCAAAGUAUCCCAGCCAGACAGAAUCGUAUCCCAUCAGGACAGAACAAGUCAUCGUCAUCCUUCGACCUGGACAUCGACUACAAGGACUUUGACAAUGGCAAGGGCAAGGGUAGCGCCUCGCGGGCUACUAGACUCUAGAUAAAUUUUAAUGUUAUUAGGUUUAAGAUAGAUACAAAUGUUUUUCACGUGUUUAUUUAUUUAUACUCAGCUACGAUUUGAUGAAUACAACUAUUGAAAAAAUA